rnacentral:tRNA from 2 species
GGGGCCAUAGCUCAGAUGGGAGAGCGCUACAAUGGCAUUGUAGAGGUCGGCGGUUCGAUCCCGCCUGGCUCCACCA